rnacentral:rRNA from 1 species
UGAAAUCUCGAAGCUCAACUUCGAAACUGCGUCUGAAACUGCUAGUCUAGAGUGUCGGAGGGGGAAGGGGAAUUUCACGUGUAGGGGUAAAAUCCGUAGAGAUGUGAAGGAACACCGGGGGCGAAGGCGCCUUCCUGGACGACUACUGACGCUGAGGCGCGAAAGCGUGGGGAGUAAACAGGAUUAGAUACCCUGGUAGUCCACGCUGUAAAUGAUGAAUACUAGUUAUUGGGGGUAUUGACUCCCUCAGUGACGCAGCUAACGCAUUAAG